GUGGCCACCCAUGGCGAUGCCGUAGCCACCACUAGCGUCAGAGGAGCCGCUGGGGCUAUGAUGGCUGAUGGCAUCAAUGCCAGAAGAUGGGCUGGACGGCUCAGUCUUAAUGAAGGAUCCGCAGCUAGAGCCCAUGUACCUGGUAAGUGUACCACCAUCCUGCCGUCAGAAGGUCAAACCCAUCAGAGACAACAGGACAGAGCUUCUCUCAUGUACCAAAAUUACAGUAUGCAUGAGAAGAAUAUGGAGUCCAGGACUGGAAUGGAUCUGCAGAUCAUGACUGAGGCUCAUCAGCGGACCCAGAACUGGAACAGCAAGGGGUUCUGAAGUCAGGCCUCAAGUGCUUUGGGACAGCUGUGUGAAGGAAAAAUGCACAGCAAACGCCCACAUCGUGCCUUAAUUUUUAGCCAGUUCUAAGUGCCUUUCACUUCUCUGAGCACCAACACACACAAAAACCCCAAACCAAACCAAACGUGAAAUUUCUCCCUGUACCUUCCCAAAGCACAUGACAUCACUGGAUGGAAAAUAAAAAUAAUCAAAUACAAAAAUACUGAAGCAAUGGUUUCAACUGAGAAGCUGGAAUCCUCUCUCCCAUCCCUAGAAUUUGUCACUCUGCCUUAUGUUAUUUCUCAGGGACACAAGGGAAAUGCAUCAAACUCAACUACUUCAACGUCAGUUUCACUUCCUGCUCUCCUUUUUCAGUAUUUCUACUAACUGACAAAUAGAAGCCAACAGAGAGACAGAAUAACACAGAUGGGCAACCCAGGAAGGAGGAGAUUUGCAUCUACUUAUAUGGCAGACAUAGACUUCCACUAUGUACCUGCCUAGGGUGAGCAUUUUGGAUCAAAUGGUCUUCACUGUGUGUAUAUGGAAGAAGGUGGUUUUCAGCUGGGACUUUGGACCAAGGAGGCGCACAGAAAGACAAUGAAGAUUUGGGCGUUUUUUCCUAACAUUUGGCAGCUCCGUUAAGCAAAUAAAAAAAUAAAAACUGACCUG